ACUGAACGCUGGCGGAAUGCUUUACACACGCAAGUCGAACGGCAGCACGGACUUCGGUCUGGUGGCGAGUGGCGAACGGGUGAGUAAUGUAUCGGAACGUGCCCAGUCGUGGGGGAUAACGUAGUGAAAAUUACGCUAAUACCGCAUACGAUCUAUGGAUGAAAGCGGGGGAUCGCAAGACCUCGCGCGAUUGGAGCGGCCGAUAUCAGAUUAGGUAGUUGGUGGGGUAAAGGCCCACCAAGCCAAAGAUCUGUAGCUGGUCUGAGAGGACGAGCAGCCACACUGGAACUGAGACACGGUCCAGACUCCUACGGGAGGCAGCAGUGGGGAAUUUUGGACAAUGGGCGGAAGCCUGAUCCAGCCAUUCCGCGUGCAGGAUGAAGGCCCUCGGGUUGUAAACUGCUUUUGUACAGAACGAAAAGGUUUCUACUAAUACUAGGAGCUCAUGACGGUACUGUAAGAAUAAGCACCGGCUAACUACGUGCCAGCCGCCGCGGUAA
rnacentral:rRNA from 1 species